GAAGCUGAAACGGGUGGAACCUUAAUGGUCGAAAGAGGGGAUUCAGGCUGCUGGGACUACUCCGGCGGCGGGUGCGGCGUUAUGCGAGGACCCGGCUCGAAUGUGAUGUGCCGUGGCUGCGCGCCCGCCAGUGCCGGAGGCCCGGCGGCUUUACUUCUCCCUCUAGUAGGCUCGUGGCGACCCGCUAGUUGUGCCCCGAAGGCCGUGGCGGACUGGUAGCCUGCACGCAAGUGGAGGCGAUAACCGUCUGCGGAUGAUGAUACGAGGCUGGGCACGGCUGGCGGUCACUGCAAGGAGGCUGCGAUGGACCUGCCUCGGCAGGGCCGGAGCGGCCUCUCGCCACGAUUUGAUAUUGGUCAUCCACCUGACCCGUCUUGAAACACGGACCAAGGAGUCCAACAAGUGCGCGAGUCUAAAGGUGAGUUAAACCUGGAGGCGAAAUGAAAGUGAGUCCCCUGUGUGGGCAGGCCGAUCCCCUGUCCGUUCGGGGCCCUGCGCGGGCUUUGGCGCGUAAGCGGACUGUCUCUGACAGGUCGCUGCGCUGGCUGCGGCGCGGGUGUCCUCGGGCGGCGGCCGGUCGUGCGGAGGCGGCUCCUGGCCGUCUCUUAGCUGGCCGGAGAUGGGGCGCAGGCCGAGGACUUGCCAUAGUGCGGCGCGGGCAACGGGGUGUUCUCUCUCUCGGGGGAGGGCGCUCUUAUCCCGACGUCCGCCGGCAAGUACCUGAGAGCGCCAAUGUUGGGACCCGAAAGAUGGUGAACUAUGCCUGGCGAGGACGAAGCCAGAGGAAACUCUGGUGGAGGUCCGAAGCAGUUCUGACGUGCAAAUCGAUUGUCAGAGCUGGGUAUAGGGGCGAAAGACUAAUCGAACCAUCUAGUAGCUGGUUCCCUCCGAAGUUUCCCUCAGGAUAGCUGGCAUUCAGGCCUGGAUGAGUUUCAUCCGGUAAAGCGAAUGAUUAGAGGCCUUGGUGGUGCAAUGCCGUCAACCUAUUCUCAAACUUUAAAUGGGUGAGAUGUAGAGCUUGCUUGGCUCGAAGCUCUACGAUGACUGGAAUCAGAAUGCC
rnacentral:rRNA from 1 species